UAUUAAUGGGAGAUACAAACUGGUACAGGUC
rnacentral:piRNA from 1 species